rnacentral:rRNA from 1 species
CCUACGGGAGGCAGCAGUAGGGAAUAUUGCUCAAUGGGGGAAACCCUGAAGCAGCAACGCCGCGUGGAGGAUGAAGGUUUUCGGAUUGUAAACCCCUUUUGUUAGAGAAGAUAAUGACGGUAUCUAACGAAUAAGCACCGGCUAACUCCGUGCCAGCAGCCGCGGUAAUACGGAGGGUGCAAGCGUUACUCGGAAUCACUGGGCGUAAAGAGCGCGUAGGCGGGAUAGCAAGUCAGAUGUGAAAUCCUAGGGCUUAACCAUAGAACUGCAUUUGAAACUGUUAUUCUAGAGUAUGGGAGAGGUAGGUGGAAUUCUUGGUGUAGGGGUAAAAUCCGUAGAGAUCAAGAGGAAUACUCAUUGCGAAGGCGACCUGCUAGAACAUAACUGACGCUGAUGCGCGAAAGCGUGGGGAGCAAACAGGAUUAGAUACCCCAGUAGUC